GCGGGUGUAGUUCAGUGGUAGAACGCGACCUUCCCAAGGUCGAUGUCGUCGGUUCGAUUCCGAUCACCCGCU
rnacentral:tRNA from 1 species